GUGAAAAACACCCACGCCGAAAGACCAAGGGUUCCUGCGCAACGUUAAUCGACGCAGGGUUAGUCGGUUCCUAAGGCGAGGCUGAAAAGCGUAGUCGAUGGGAAACAGGUUAAUAUUCCUGUACUUCUGGUUACUGCGAUGGAGGGACGGAGAAGGCUAGGCCAGCUUGGCGUUGGUUGUCCAAGUUUAAGGUGGUAGGCUGAAAUCUUAGGUAAAUCCGGGGUUUCAAGGCCGAGAGCUGAUGACGAGUCGUCUUUUAGAUGACGAAGUGGUUGAUGCCAUGCUUCCAAGAAAAGCUUCUAAGCUUCAGGUAACCAGGAACCGUACCCCAAACCGACACAGGUGGUCGGGUAGAGAAUACCAAGGCGCUUGAGAGAACUCGGGUGAAGGAACUAGGCAAAAUGGCACCGUAACUUCGGGAGAUGGUGCGCCGGCUAGGGUGAAGGAUUUACUCCGUAAGCUCUGGCUGGUCGAAGAUACCAGGCCGCUGCGACUGUUUAUUAAAAACACAGCACUCUGCAAACACGAAAGUGGACGUAUAGGGUGUGACGCCUCCCCGGUGCCGGAAGGUUAAUUGAUGGGGUUAGCGCAAGCGAAGCUCUUGAUCGAAGCCCCGGUAAACGGCGGCCGUAACGAUAACGGUCCUAAGGUAGCGAAAUUCCUUGUCGGGUAAGUUCCGACCUGCACGAAUGGCGUAACGAUGGCGGCGCUGUCUCCACCCGAGACUCAGUGAAAUUGAAAUCGCUGUGAAGAUGCAGUGUAUCCGCGGCUAGACGGAAAGACCCCGUGAACCUUUACUGUAGCUUUGCACUGGACUUUGAGCCUGCUUGUGUAGGAUAGGUGGGAGGCUUUGAAGCGUGGACGCCAGUUCGCGUGGAGCCAUCCUUGUAAUACCACCCUGGCAUGCUUGAGGUUCUAACUCUGGUCCGUAAUCCGGAUCGAGGACAGUGUAUGGUGGGCAGUUUGACUGGGGCGGUCUCCUCCUAAAGAGUAACGGAGGAGUACGAAGGUGCGCUCAGACCGGUCGGAAAUCGGUCGCAGAGUAUAAAGGCAAAAGCGCGCUUGACUGCGAGACAGACACGUCGAGCAGGUACGAAAGUAGGUCUUAGUGAUCCGGUGGUUCUGUAUGGAAGGGCCAUCGCUCAACGGAUAAAAGGUACUCCGGGAUAACAGGCUGAUACCGCCCAAGAGUUCAUAUCGACGGCGGUGUUUGGCACCUCGAUGUCGGCUCAUCACAUCCUGGGGCUGAAGCCGGUCCCAAGGGUAUGGCUGUUCGCCAUUUAAAGUGGUACGCGAGCUGGGUUUAGAACGUCGUGAGACAGUUCGGUCCCUAUCUGCCGUGGACGUUUGAGAUUUGAGAGGGGCUGCUCCUAGUACGAGAGGACCGGAGUGGACGAACCUCUGGUGUUCCGGUUGUCACGCCAGUGGCAUUGCCGGGUAGCUAUGUUCGGAAAAGAUAACCGCUGAAAGCAUCUAAGCGGGAAACUUGCCUCAAGAUGAGAUCUCACUGGGAACUUGAUUCCCCUGAAGGGCCGUCGAAGACUACGACGUUGAUAGGCUGGGUGUGUAAGCGUUGUGAGGCGUUGAGCUAACCAGUACUAAUUGCCCGUGAGGCUUGAUC
rnacentral:rRNA from 1 species